CCGCCGAAAAUCUAAGGUUUCCUGAGGAAGGUUCGUCCACUCAGGGUUAGUCGGGACCUAAGCCGAGGCCGAAAGGCGUAGGCGAUGGACAACGGGUUGAGAUUCCCGUACCACCGAAAUUCGUUACGAGCAAUGUGGGGACACAGAAGGAUAAUCUGAGCGCACCGUUGGUAGAGUGCGUCCAAGCGAUAAGUUUUGAUAGUAGGCAAAUCCGCUAUCUAAAAGAAUGAGUCGUGAUGGGGAGAGAAAAAAAGUACCGAAGCAGAUGAUUUCACGCUGUCAAGAAAAUCCGCUAGCCAGAACGUAGGUGCCCGUACCGCAAACCGACACAGGUAGAUGAGGAGAGAAUCCUAAGGUGAUCGAGAGAACUAUUGUUAAGGAACUCGGCAAAAUGACCCCGUAACUUCGGGAUAAGGGGUGCCAUCGAAAGAUGGCCGCAGUGAAAUGGCCCAGGCGACUGUUUACCAAAAACACAGGUCUCUGCUAAAGCGAAAGCUGAUGUAUAGGGGCUGACGCCUGCCCGGUGCUGGAAGGUUAAGGGGAUUAGUUAGGGUAACCGAAGCUAUGAACUUAAGCCCCAGUAAACGGCGGCCGUAACUAUAACGGUCCUAAGGUAGCGAAAUUCCUUGUCGGGUAAGUUCCGACCCGCACGAAUGGCGUAAUGAUUUGGGCACUGUCUCAACUGUAAAUCCGGCGAAGUUGUAGUGCCAGUGAAGAUGCUGGCUACCCGCGAUUGGACGGAAAGACCCCGUAGAGCUUUACUGUAGUUUAGCAUUGAGUUUCGGUAUUGUCUGUACAGGAUAGGUGGGAGACUAUGAAACUGGACCGUCAGGUUCAGUGGAGUCAUCCUUGGGAUACCACCCUGGCAUUACUGGAAUUCUAACAGGACACCAUGAAUCUGGUGACUGGACAUUGCUAGAUGGGCAGUUUGACUGGGGCGGUCGCCUCCUAAAAAGUAACGGAGGCGCUCAAAGGUUCCCUCAGAACGGUCGGAAAUCGUUCGUAGAGUGCAAAGGCAGAAGGGAGCCUGACUGCGACACCUACAAGUGGAGCAGGGACGAAAGUCGGACUUAGUGAUCCGGUGGUACCUCGUGGGAGGGCCAUCGCUCAACGGAUAAAAGCUACCUCGGGGAUAACAGGCUGAUCUCCCCCAAGAGUCCACAUCGACGGGGAGGUUUGGCACCUCGAUGUCGGCUCGUCG
rnacentral:rRNA from 1 species